rnacentral:rRNA from 1 species
UACGGAGGGAGCAAGCGAUGUUCGGAUUUACUGGGCGUAAAGGGCGCGUAGGCGGCUUGGUAAGUCGGGUGUGAAAACCUUCCGCUUAACGGAAGAAGUGCACACGAAACUGCCUAGCUCGAGUUUAGGAGAGGAGAGCGGAAUUCCCGGUGUAGAGGUGAAAUGCGUAGAUAUCGGGAGGAACCCCCGUGGCGAAAGCGGCUCUCUGGCCGAAUACUGACGCUGAGGCGCGAAAGCGUGGGGAGCAAACAGG